CCUACGGGGGGCUGCAGUGAGGAAUAUUGGUCAAUGGGCGCGAGCCUGAACCAGCCAAGUCGCGUGAGGGAGGACGGCCCUACGGGUUGUAAACCUCUUUUGCCGGGGAGCAAAGGGCGCCACGUGUGGCGUCACUGAGAGUACCCGGAGAAAAAGCAUCGGCUAACUCCGUGCCAGCAGCCGCGGUAAUACGGAGGAUGCGAGCGUUAUCCGGAUUUAUUGGGUUUAAAGGGUGCGUAGGCGGACCGUUAAGUCAGUUGUGAAAGUUUGCGGCUCAACCGUAAAAUUGCAAUUGAUACUGGCAGUCUUGAGUGCAGUUGAGGUAGGCGGAAUUCGUGGUGUAGCGGUGACAUGCUUAGAUAUCACGAAGAACUCCGAUUGCGAAGGCAGCUUACUAAACUGCCACUGACAUUGAUGCUCGAAAGUGUGGGUAUCAAACAGGAUUAGAUACCCUUGUAGUC
rnacentral:rRNA from 1 species